rnacentral:lncRNA from 1 species
CACCGAGCGCGACGUCGGGCCCCGACGCGUCCCCGUCCUCGCCACGGUCACCACGUCAAGCUCCCGUCCAUGUCUUCGCCAAGCCAAACCCCCGGUGAGCUCGCCAAGACCAAAGUUUUCCCCUUCCUGCGUUCACCAUGCUGAGAUCGGCCUUCGUGCCAUGGUUCUCACUGUUGCAGGGAAACUGCGACCUCAUCGUGCUUUUGCCGAAGAUGUGUCGCCUUCCCGGCCGGCCGCAGCGAGCCACAGCCAGCCAAGCAGAAGACUUGCAGUUGAUCUACGCCUAUCCUCGGC